GUCCCAGUGGCCGAGUGGUUAAGGCGACGCCCUGCUAUUCUCAAGUAGCUGUAAGGCGUUGGGUUCUGCCCGCGCAAGUUCGAAUCUUGUCUGUGACG